rnacentral:rRNA from 1 species
AUUGAACGCUGGCGGCAGGCCUAACACAUGCAAGUCGAACGAGUGGCGGACGGGUGAGUUAUGUCUGGGAAACUGCCCGAUGGUGGGGGAUAACUACUGGAAACGGUAGCUAAUACCGCAUACCAUCGGAUGUGCCCAGAUGGGAUUAGCUAGUAGGUGGGGUAAUGGCUCACCUAGGCGACGAUCCCUAGUUGGUCUGAGAGGAUGACCAGCCACACUGAAACUGAGACACGGACCAGACUCCCACAGGAGGCAGCAGUGGGGAAUAUUGCACGAUGGGAGAAAGGCUGAUGCAGCGAUGCCGCGUGUAUGAAGAAGGGCUUAGGGUUGUAAGGUACUUUCAGCGAGGAGGCGUUACGCGCAGAAGAAGCACCGGCUAACUCCGUGCCAGCAGCCGCGGUAAUUC